AAACGCCUCUCGUUCUUUACUUGACUGUGAGCUGUGGUGUCGAAUAGAUAUACCAUAUAGAAUGGCGGAUGAUUUCCUCCAACUUAUUUUAUCACAUAAGAAAUUUAACGUAAAGUAAAAAGUUACCACCAGGGAUUGUCUGGAGUGAGGAGACAUGUGGGUGACAACUCCUGUUGGAGUAUAAAUAGGAAUCAUUCGCCAUUUGGGAGAAACCCUACCAUGAAGUCAUAGACCUUAUUUGACCACCUAGAGAAACCACUACAGCCACAGUCAAGUCAUCAUGGGAAUACGUCUUUUUGGGAACAAGCUAUGGGAGCGUUCCAGCUCAAUUUUCGUCUUGGCACCUGGGCCUACAGGAGUCAUGGGGUCGCACCAUCCUGGUGCAUCAUUUUCUAGGAUGCAACCGCAACCUUGUUUGGGAACAUUUAGUGAGGUGUUGUAGUAACUAUUGGUUUUUUUUUUGUAUUUCAGACUAUCUGUUAAAUACACUAUGUUUUUUUUCCAGAUUUAGGUUACCUCUGGUUUUUUUUGACAUAUUUGUAUAUUAGAUUAUUUGGUUCCCAAACUUUGUAUCUACGGUAACUUCUUGUGCACAGGAAUAAGCCUAGAGAAAAUUAGGUUUUUAAUACUUUAUUAUUGCUUUGAUAUUGGUUUAUGUAAUUCGGGUAAAUUUAUUUUUUAAUAUUACUAGCUUGUUUCCCAAAUAUUUUACGGUUAUUCGCUUUAUUCCAUUUGUUCGGUUAAUUUAGGUCAUCGUCGGUAUUUAUCUCAACUUCAUUUCUACUUUAGUCAAUUGUAUAUUUAACUUUAUUUAUUCAUUACUGUAUUUUCCCUUUGUGAGGCUUGGGCCUAUUUAUUUGUAGUAUUUUCAUCUUUGUCAGUUUCCUUUAGUUGUACGUAGCAAGCGUACUAUAACCAUUUGGUAGAAGACUUAUGUAAUUUUGUACCCUAUAUGUAAGUAAGAGGUACUAAUACCUGUAAUUUUGUAACAGAUAACAUUAUUGUUGUUAUCUUAGAGAUGACUUUUUGUAUAACUUAUGUCAUUUUAGAGUCACAUGAUAUACACUUUGUGUAACUCAGAGAUUGUCAAAAAUCUAGUAGUUAUUUUUAAUAAAUAUGUAUUUAUUUUGUA